UACGUAGGGGGCGAGCGUUGUCCGGAUUUAUUGGGCGUAAAGCGCUCGUAGGCGGCUGCUCAAGUCGAAUGUGAAAACUCGAGGCUCAACCUCGAGCCUGCAUUCGAUACUGGGCGGCUAGAGUCUGGUAGGGGGAUCUGGAAUUCCUGGUGUAGCGGUGGAAUGCGCAGAUAUCAGGAGGAACACCGGUGGCGAAGGCGGGAUCCUGGGCCAGUACUGACGCUGAGGAGCGAAAGCGUGGGGAGCAAACAGG
rnacentral:rRNA from 1 species